rnacentral:snRNA from 1 species
AAAAUCAGGGGAGAGCCCAUGAGUGGGAAGGUGGUUUUCCCAGGAAGAGGCUCAUCCAUUGCUGACCCUGAGAGCUCCUCAAAUUCCGGAAAACUACAUAAUUUGUGGUAGUGGGGGACUGCAUUUGAGCUCUCCCCUU